rnacentral:rRNA from 1 species
GCAAGCGAGACAAGGGCGCAUGGGGGAUACCUGGGCUCUCAGAGGCGAGGAAGGACGCGGCAAGCUGCGAAAAUCGACGGGGAGCGGCACACACGCUUUGAUCCGUUGGUGUCCGAAUGGGGCAACCCGGCCGCCCAGUGGCGGUCAUCCUGUUUAUUCAGGAGGCGAACGGGGGGAACUGAAACAUCUAAGUACCCCCAGGAGAAGAAAACAAGAGUGAUUCCGCAAGUAGCGGCGAGCGAACGCGGAGCAGCCCAAACCGCCGGCGUCAAGGCGCGGGCGGGGUUGUAGGACCACCCGAGUGGGUGACGAUUCAAGCCGAAGCGCCUGGGAAGGCGCACCGCAGGGGGUGAGAGUCCCGUAGGCGUAGCGAUUGUCACCUGAGGUGGUAUCCUGAGUAGGGGGGGACCGGAGGAAUCCCCUCUGAAUCCGGCGGCACCAUCCGCCAAGGCUAAAUACUCCUGAGAGACCGAUAGUGGACGAGUACCGUGAGGGAAAGGUGAAAAGCACCGCGAACAGCGGGGUGAAACAGAACUUGAAACCAUGCGCCUACAAGCGGGCGGAGCCGGCUGUUUACAGUCCAGUGACGCCGUGCCUUUUGCAUAAUGAGCCUACGAGUCACGGUCGCCGGCGAGGUUAACCGCCAUGUAGGCGGGGAGCCGGAGCGAAAGCGAGUCCGAACAGGGCGCGCAGUCGGCGGCUGUGGACGCGAAACCCGGUGAUCUACCCUUGGCCAGGCUGAGCCGCUGGUAACACAGCGUGGAGGGCCGAACCGGUAAACGUUGAAAAGUUUUCGGAUGAGCCGAGGGUAGGGGUGAAAGGCCAAUCAAACCGGGAAAUAGCUCGUACUCCCCGAAAUGCCUUUAGGGGCAGCGUCGGGCAACGGCCGGCGGCAGGUAGAGCUACCGAUAGGGCUAGGGGGAGUCACAUCCUACCAACCCCUGACGAACUCCGAAUGGCCGCCGUUAGGCCCGGCAGUGAGGGCGCGGGUGCUAAGGUCCGCGUCCGAGAGGGGAACAACCCGGAGCACCGGCCAAGGUCCCCAAGUGUGCACUAAGUUGAGCUAAGGGGGUCCGACUGCAGAGACAGCCAGGAUGUUAGCUUGGAAGCAGCUACACAUUUAAAGAGUGCGUAACAGCCCACUGGUCGAGCGGGGCGGGCACCGAUAAUGAACGGGCAUCAAGUGCACCACCGAAGCCGUGCGGUAGUAAUUUAUUACGACCGGUAGGGGAGCAUUCCCAGGGGGGCGAAGGCGUGGCGCGAGCCACGCUGGACCGCUGGGAAAAGCAAAUGUAGGCAUGAGUAACGACAAUGCGCGCGCGAAACGCGCACACCGGAAGACCAAGGGUUCCCCCGCUAUGCUAAUCAACGGGGGGUCAGGCGGGGCCUAAGCGCCAGCCGAAGGGCGAAGCGCGAUGGACAGCAGGCCAACAUUCCUGCCCCGCCCGCAGUGCGAGCCGGUGACGGAGCGCGGUGGUCCUCACGUACCGACGGAAUGGUGCGUUGGAGCGGAGCCUUCGGGCGAGGCGAGAGGGCGGACGCGCUUCCAAGAAAAGCCGGCGAAGCGCCAGCUGCGGGCGGCCCGUACCGCAAACCGACACAGGUGGUCGGGAAGAGGAUUCCAAGGUGCUCGAGUGAAUCACGGCUAAGGAACUCGGCAAAUUGACCCUGUAACUUCGGGAUAAGGGGGGCCUACUCUGAGAGGAGAGGCCGCAGAGAAACGGCCCAGGCGACUGUUUAGCAAAAACACAGGGCUCUGCCAAGGCGAGAGCCGACGUAUAGGGCCUGACACCUGCCCGGUGCCGGAAGGUUAAGAGGGGAUGUCAGCCGCGAGGCGAAGCAUUGAAUCGAAGCCCCGGUAAACGGCGGCCGUAACUAUAACGGUCCUAAGGUAGCGAAAUUCCUUGUCGGGUAAGUUCCGACCUGCACGAAUGGUGUAACGAUCUGGGCACUGUCUCAGCCGUGAGCUCGGUGAAAUUGUAGUGGCGGUGAAGAUGCCGCCUACCCGCCACGGGACGGAAAGACCCCGUGCACCUUUACUGCAGCUUUGCGUUGGUCUUGGGUCAGCGGUGUGUAGGAUAGGCGGGAGGCAGCGAAGCGGCGUCGCCAGGCGCCGUGGAGCCAACCUUGAAAUACCGCCCUCCGCUGUCCCGGGUCCUAACCCGGUUCAACCGGGGACCGCGCAUGGCGGGCAGUUUGACUGGGGUGGUCGCCUCCGAAAGGGUAACGGAGGCUUCCAAAGGUCGGCUCAGCACGCUUGGUAACCGUGCGGGGAGUGCAAUGGCACAAGCCGGCUUGACUGCCAGGCCGACGGGCCGCGCAGGUGGGAAACCAGGGCAUAGUGAUCCGGUGGUCCCGCAUGGAAGGGCCAUCGCUCAAAGGAUAAAAGGUACGCCGGGGAUAACAGGCUGAUCUCCCCCAAGAGCUCACAUCGACGGGGAGGUUUGGCACCUCGAUGUCGGCUCGUCACAUCCUGGGGCUGGAGAAGGUCCCAAGGGUUCGGCUGUUCGCCGAUUAAAGUGGCACGCGAGCUGGGUUCAGAACGUCGUGAGACAGUUCGGUCCCUAUCUGUGGUGGGCGCAGGAGGACUGAGGGGGGCUGCCCUUAGUACGAGAGGACCGGGGUGGACCCACCGCUGGUGAGCCGGCUGUCCCGCCAGGGGCACGGCCGGGUAGCCACGUGGGGAGCGGAUAAGCGCUGAAGGCAUCUAAGUGCGAAACCGGCCCCGAGAUGAGUCCUCCCGAUAGCAGGGCCGUCGUAGACGACGACGUCGAUAGGCCGCAGGUGCACGCGCCGAGAAGCGCUCAGCCGAGCGGUACUAAUCGCCCGAGGGCUUGCGGC